UUCCGGUUGAUCCCGCCGGAGGUUACUGCUAUCGAGGUUCGACUAAGCCAUGCGAGUCGAAUGUAGCAAUACAUGGCGAACUGCUCAGUAACACGUGGACAACCUGCCCUUAGGACGGGGAUAAACCCGGGAAACUGGGUAUAAUACCCGAUAGGUCUCGAUUGCUGGAAUGCAUCGAGAUUUAAAGCUCCGGCGCCUAAGGAUGGGUCUGCGGCCUAUCAGGUAGUAGUGGGUGUAGCGUACCUACUAGCCUACGACGGGUACGGGUUGUGAGAGCAAGAGCCCGGAGAUGGAUUCUGAGACACGAAUCCAGGCCCUACGGGGUGCAGCAGGCGCGAAAACUUUACAAUGCUGGCAACAGCGAUAAGGGAACCUCGAGUGCCAGGUUACAAAUCUGGCUGUCGAGAUGCCUAAAAAGCAUUUCAUAGCAAGGGCCGGGCAAGACCGGUGCCAGCCGCCGCGGUAACACCGGCGGCUCGAGUGGUAACCGUUAUUAUUGGGUCUAAAGGGUCUGUAGCCGGCCGGAUAAGUCUCUUGAGAAAUCUGGCAGCUUAACUGUCAGGCUUUCAGGAGAUACUGUCUGGCUCGAGGCCGGGAGAGGUGAGAGGUACUUCAGGGGUAGGGGUGAAAUCUUGUAAUCCUUGAAGGACCACCAGUGGCGAAGGCGUCUCACCAGAACGGACCUGACGGCAAGGGACAAAAGCUAGGGGCACGAACCGGAUUAGAUACCCGGGUAGUCCUAGCCGUAAACGAUACUCGCUAGGUGUCGGCCACGGUGCGACCGUUGUCGGUGCCGUAGGGAAGCCGUGAAGCGAGCCACCUGGGAAGUACGGCCGCAAGGCUGAAACUUAAAGGAAUUGGCGGGGGAGCACCACAACGG
rnacentral:rRNA from 1 species